CCCUUUGUAGUGUGAUUAAGAUAUGUUGGAAGGUUGCUUUGUGAAGGCUUUUGGAAGAAUGGAUGCAGCAUAUUUUUUGCAAGGAUAUUAUCUCUAUGUGUAUUUUUGUGAUGGGUUGUAAUCUUUAAUGUCAUAAGUUUAAUUUGGUUUGUGUAUUAUUUUUUGUAAUGGUUUGUAAGAGAUUAUAUUUCCUUUCCUUGGUUGGUUGGUUGAAUGUGUGUAUGUGAGAUUUAUUUAGUUUAGAAACUUAGAUUGGAAUGAUGGAUUUUUAUAGCUUGAAUGUACAUAAUUUCAGGUUUUGAAAGAGAAGUAAAAAGUGUUUUGGGCUUGUUCAUAA